rnacentral:rRNA from 1 species
AACGAACGCUGGCGGCAGGCCUAACACAUGCAAGUCGAACGAUAAGCCACCUUCGGGUGGUGGACAGUGGCAGACGGGUGAGUAACGCGUGGGAACGUGCCUUUCGGUUCGGGAUAACCCAGGGAAACUUGGGCUAAUACCGUAUACGCCCUCCGGGGGAAAGAUUCAUUGCCGAAAGAUCGGCCCGCGUCGGAUUAGCUAGUUGGUGGGGUAAAAGCCUACCAAGGCGACGAUCCGUAGCUGGUCUGAGAGGAUGACCAGCCACACUGGGACUGAGACACGGCCCAGACGCCGACGGGAGGCAGCAGUGGGGAAUAUUGGACAAUGGGCGCAAGCCUGAUCCAGCCAUGCCGCGUGGGUGAAGAAGGCCCUAGGGUUGUAAACCCCUUUCAGCGGGGAAGAUAAUGACGGUACCCGCAGAAGAAGCCCCGGCUAACUCCGUGCCAGCCGCCGCAGUAACAC